CGAGUGUAUUCCUGCCAGACUAAAAGCGUCUCUUCUGUCUUUAUGUUUUCAUCCUUUAUCUCCUGCACCGUGUUCUGCCACCUGAGAAGGAUGAAACGUGUGAUUACUUUGUGGCUGUAUAGCGCUAACAUGCACAAAUGCCUGUGCCGCUCCAUGAUGGAGAGACCCUACAAGACUCUGACAGGAUUUGUCCACAGCUGCCCAAAGUGCUUCUCCUUUUCCAGCCUCCUCCUGGAGUUGCUGUGUGAUGAUGAAAAACACAUUUCUUACUCUAAACUAAAGCUUAGAGACUGAAAAGUACUGACGGCUUGACAUCUUUGGAUAUAAAGGUCACCAACGCGGCUUACCUGGAGGAAGUCCACGUAUCCCUCUGCCUGCUUCAGCGAGAAGAGAGGAGCUUGUUGAUGCUGAAAGGCACAGCGCACCCUGGUGGUGUGCAG